UAAGGAAUAUUGGUCAAUGGACGCAAGUCUGAACCAGCCAUGCCGCGUGAAGGAUGAAGGUCCUCUGGAUUGUAAACUUCUUUUAUCUGGGACGAAAACGGGAUUUUUAUCUCAAUUGACGGUAUCAGAGGAAUAAGCACCGGCUACCUCCGUGCCAGCAGCCGCGGUAAUACGGAGGGUGCGAGCGUUAUCCGGAUUUACUGGGUUUAAAGGGUGCGUAGGUGGGCUUAUAAGUCAGUGGUGAAAUCUCCGAGCUUAACUUGGAAACUGCCGUUGAUACUAUAGGUCUUGAAUUAUCUGGAGGUGAGCAGAAUAUGUCAUGUAGCGGUGAAAUGCUUAGAUAUGACAUAGAACACCAAUUGCGAAGGCAGCUUACUACAUAUAAAUUGACGCUGAGGCACGAAAGCGUGGGGAUCAAACA
rnacentral:rRNA from 1 species